rfam:Rattus norvegicus chromosome 9, whole genome shotgun sequence.
GGGGACUUAGCUCAGUGGUAGAGCGCUUGCCUAGCAAGCACAAGGCCCUGGGUUCAGUCCCCA